AGUCAGUUCAAGAUGCUGAGCAUUCAAUAGAAAACAUAAGAAUUUUUUAUAAUGAUCUGAAGCUCACACUUCAACCUUUAGUUUAUGCUGUACCACCAAACAUUGCUGUUGCUGUGUACAACAACCAUAGAUGGUCAUUUCAAACGCCUUUGAAAGCCAUGGAUUUUUCUUUUAAACUGAUUCAGGUCUUGAAUAAGGAAUACAAUAUUGCGAGUUUUCCAGCUUGGAUGUUUUUACAGAAAUACAUAUAUUGUUUCAAUUGCCCCGAUUUUGAUGUUUCGUGCCCGAAAGCAAGUGAAUUAGCAUCUGAGUUAAAUCUAUAAACUUCUUUCGAUACAUUUCAAUCUUAAUUUAGAUAAAAUAAAGCAUUUAUUUAAAACUA